rnacentral:rRNA from 1 species
ACUCCUACGGGAGGCAGCAGUGGGGAAUAUUGCACAAUGGGCGAAAGCCUGAUGCAGCGACGCCGCGUGAGGGAUGACGGCCUUCGGGUUGUAAACCUCUUUCAGCAGGGACGAAGCGAAAGUGACUGUACCUGCAGAAGAAGCACCGGCUAACUACGUGCCAGCAGCCGCGGUAAUACGUAGGGUGCGAGCGUUGUCCGGAUUUAUUGGGCGUAAAGAGCUUGUAGGCGGCUCGUCACGUCGGGUGUGAAAACUCGCGGCUCAACCGCGAGCCUGCACCCGAUACGGGCGGGCUGGAGUUCGGCAGGGGAGACUGGAAUUCCUGGUGUAGCGGUGGAAUGCGCAGAUAUCAGGAGGAACACCGGUGGCGAAGGCGGGUCUCUGGGCCGAUACUGACGCUGAGAAGCGAAAGCGUGGGGAGCGAACAGGAUUAGAUACCCUGGUAGUCCACGCCGUAAACGUUGGGAACUAGGUGUGGGGUCCAUUCCACGGGCUCUGUGCCGCAGCUAACGCAUUAAGUUCCCCGCCUGGGGAGUACGGCCGCAAGGCUAAAACUCAAAGGAAUUGACGGGGGCCCGCACAAGCGGCGGAGCAUGUGGCUUAAUUCGAUGCAACGCGAAGAACCUUACCUGGGCUUGACAUGUUCGGAAAUCCCCCAGAGAUGGGGGGUCCUUUAGGGCCGUUCACAGGUGGUGCAUGGUUGUCGUCAGCUCGUGUCGUGAGAUGUUGGGUUAAGUCCCGCAACGAGCGCAACCCUCGUUCCAUGUUGCCAGCGCGUUAUGGCGGGGACUCAUGGGAGACUGCCGGGGUCAACUCGGA